ACUAGAACGAUUUAGACUUAUUCCUUGAAUAAUCUUUUUCCUUUCAUCAUUGUUGACAUGGUGAUGAUGUCCAAAAGACUCCUAAAUUUUAAUACUUCAAAAGAAUAGUUUCAGUCUCAGAAGUUUCUGCUAGGAACUUACAGAUUUCCUUAAGGGCGUUGUCUCAUUUUUAAAAGGAAGGGGAGGGGUCAAUUUCCCUACAUUAUUGGGCCCUUUUAGGGAAAGAGGAUUAUGUCUUAGGCUGGCCAUGUACUGUGUGGGUAUUGUGU
rnacentral:lncRNA from 1 species